CUCGUCGGCGCGCGCCAGCUCGCGCCGCUGGAUCAGGCUCAGGAUCUCCAGCACUGCGGGGCGAGGCGGGGGGUCUUGCCGAAUUGUUAAAUUCUGGGCUUGAAAUUCCGGUCCUCCUGCCUCAGUCUCCCGGAGUGCUGGGAUUACCGCGGUGCACCAUGGCCAUCACACUCGGCUUAUUCCCCCCGCCCCCGCAGAUGAGGAAAUGGAGACUGCGGAGGGCAUGGGCGUCUGUCUGAGGCCCCACCGUGCUUCAGGAGCACAGCUAGGAUUUGCAGCGAGACCCAUGCGAUGCCAGAGCCUGGCUUCUUCCCUGGAGCUCCGGCCCCUCGCUCCCGCCCCCCUCCCCCUCUCUGUGUGCCUGGAGUAUUCGUGAUCACAGUGGGUCAUGAAGAAACUAGCUCAGAGAUGGCAAGGCUGCGUGGGAAGUGGCACAGCACGCUAGGGGCGACCCCACCUCCUGUCUACCGGCAAGGAUCUCACUACGUUACUAAGUUGACCAGGCUGGGUU